rnacentral:rRNA from 1 species
GAUGAACGCUGGCGGCGUGCCUAAUACAUGCAAGUCGAGCGAACGGACGAGAAGCUUGCUUCUCUGAUGUUAGCGGCGGACGGGUGAGUAACACGUGGAUAACCUACCUAUAAGACUGGGAUAACUUCGGGAAACCGGAGCUAAUACCGGAUAAUACUUUGAACCGCAUGGUUCAAAAGUGAAAGACGGUCUUGCUGUCACUUAUAGAUGGAUCCGCGCUGCAUUAGCUAGUUGGUAAGGUAACGGCUUACCAAGGCAACGAUGCAUAGCCGACCUGAGAGGAUGAUCGGCCACACUGGAACUGAGACACGGUCCAGACUCCUACGGGAGGCAGCAGUAGGGAAUCUUCCGCAAUGGGCGAAAGCCUGACGGAGCAACGCCGCGUGAGUGAUGAAGGUCUUCGGAUCGUAAAACUCUGUUAUUAGGGAAGAACAUAUGUGUAAGUAACUGUGCACAUCUUGACGGUACCUAAUCAGAAAGCCACGGCUAACUACGUG